UGCAUGUUCACCUAAAAGGAGAUCUGUGUC
rnacentral:piRNA from 1 species